rnacentral:rRNA from 1 species
GUAAUCGCAGGUCAGCAUACUGCGGUGAAUACGUUCCCGGGUCUUGUACACACCGCCCGUCACACCAUGGGAGCCGGAAAUGCCCGAAGCCAGUGACCCAACCUUAGGGAGGGAGCUGUCGAAGGUGGAGCCGGUAACUGGGGUGAAGUCGUAACAAGGUAAC